GACAGAGGUGCCGAGCGUUAGGCGGAAUCACUGGGCUUAAAGGGCGCGUAGGCGGGUGCUCAAGUCCGGGGUGAAAUCCUCCAGCUCAACUGGGGAACUGCCUCGGAUACUGGGUGUCUCGAGGGUGGUAGGGGUAUGCGGAACUAUCGGUGGAGCGGUGAAAUGCGUUGAUAUCGAUAGGAACUCCGGUGGCGAAGGCGGCAUACUGGACCACAUCUGACGCUGAGGCGCGAAAGCCAGGGGAGCAAACGGG
rnacentral:rRNA from 1 species